UACAGAGGGGGCAAGCGUUGUUCGGAAUUACUGGGCGUAAAGCGCACGUAGGCGGAUUGCUAAGUCAGGGGUGAAAUCCUGGAGCUCAACUCCAGAACUGCCUUUGAUACUGGCGACCUUGAGUCCGGGAGAGGUGAGUGGAACUGCGAGUGUAGAGGUGAAAUUCGUAGAUAUUCGCAAGAACACCAGUGGCGAAGGCGGCUCACUGGCCCGGUACUGACGCUGAGGUGCGAAAGCGUGGGGAGCAAACAGG
rnacentral:rRNA from 1 species